rnacentral:misc_RNA from 1 species
UCUCCGUUGGUGAACCAGCGGAGGGAUCAUUACAGAGUUUACAACGUGCAAACCCACUGCGAACCCUACCAACCUGAUACAAACACGGGGCCACGCCGCGGCUGCCUCCCCGCGCCCGAACCAGAAACGCGCCGAAAAGCCCCACCCACCUUCUGCACUAGACACCUUAAACGAGUUAUUAUUACUGGCCUCGGCAAAAUUUCAAAUUGCAUCAAAAAAUACAACAACGGAUCUGUUGGUUCUAGCAUCGAAGAACAACGAAGCAAAUCCGAAGAGCAA